UUCUUAUCUAUAUUUCUCUCCACUCACAAUUUUUUCAAAAAAACAUCACCAGAGUCUAUUAAAAAAAAGAGUAAAAACAAGCAAAAGAAAAACGUAAAAACAAGCAAAAGAAAAAAAAUGUAAAAGCAAGCUCACGUCGUUCAUGCUUCUUCCUCUUCUCCUUCCUCGAAUUGUUUCGAAAAACGGAGACCCAGAAUAUAAAGUAUUACGAAAAAUAGGGAUCAUGGUGUAAUUUCUCAAUCUAAGUCGCUCCUCAGUUUCGUGUUUUGCGUGUUGCUGAUUUGCAAUGUUUGAGGGAAGCUCAGUGCAACGUUUGAGGGAAGCUCAGGGGAAUUUGUAAGCAUCAAUCUUUGGAGCAGUAUACAUAUUCUCAUUCGUCUUUUACGGCCAACAAACCCAGCUCCCUUGACUGGAUGGAGACAAUUCCUGUAGCUGGUUGGGGAUCUUCCAUGAUUAGCGCAUGGAAUAAAGUUUUAGCUCCAACAUACCUCAAGAUGACAUAGUUGAUCUAAUAUUCAUAUUUGCAACUUUGUUACAGUGAGGCACAAAAAGCCAGGGUAAUGGAUCAAAUAGAGAAGAUUCAUCAGGAUAUGGAGGAGCUUCCAUGCACUGGAAACACUGUUUUAGUCUUCUGAUACUCUAUUAUCCUAAUUGAAAUUCAGGUUUUGCAGCAGUGGAAAAUGAAGGUUUGGUGAUAGAGGGACUUUUACUAUAUGAAGUGGUAUAGGCCCUGUUGUUAUAAAUGGGGGUAUCUUCUGGAUGUAAUCGACUUGGUGUCCAGUAGAAGAUUUAUAAUUGAGACCAAAAAGGGUUAAGAUUGAUGCAAAUGAAAUUAAUGGGGCAAGAUUUACGGUGAAUUUUUCGGGCCUUCAUGCACGUGUCUUUCAUCAUGAAUUUGACCAUUUACAGGCAUUGGAUUGUUCAAGAUAGGCCUGAAGUUGUUGCUUAAUUUCUGACCUUAGGAUGCAGGAUGUCUCUCUUUUAACGUUUUGCUGAAGUUAUGGGUUGAAUUUAGUUCUCAUUAUCUCAGGUGGGACAGAGGUGCAUGAGGUGUGGCAAUCUUUUGGUUUUGGCUCUAUUCUUGAGAAAAUAGCUACAAUGAAAGCAAGUUUGUGGGAUUUUACAUUCUAUAUGCUACAUUGUUACCAUUUUUAUUCACUCCAUUGUUUGCCAUUUGCAA